rnacentral:rRNA from 1 species
AACGAACGCUGGCGGCAGGCCUAACACAUGCAAGUCGAACGUGAAGCCACCUUCGGGUGGUGGAAAGUGGCAGACGGGUGAGUAACGCGUGGGAACGUGCCUUUCGGUUCGGGAUAACCCAGGGAAACUUGGGCUAAUACCGGAUACGCCCUUCGGGGGAAAGAUUCAUUGCCGAAAGAUCGGCCCGCGUCGGAUUAGCUAGUUGGUGGGGUAAAAGCCUACCAAGGCGACGAUCCGUAGCUGGUCUGAGAGGAUGACCAGCCACACUGGGACUGAGACACGGCCCAGACUCCUGCGGGAGGCAGCAGUGGGGAAGAUUGGACAAUGGGCGCAAGCCUGAUCCAGCCAUGCCGCGUGGGUGAAGAAGGCCCUAGGGUUGUAAACCCCUUUCAGCGGGGAAGAUAAUGACGGUACCCGCAGAAGAAGCCCCGGCUAACUCUGUGCCAGCCGCCGCGGUAACAC